rnacentral:rRNA from 1 species
UUGGAGGGCAAGUCUGGUGCCAGCAGCCGCGGUAAUUCCAGCUCCAAUAGCGUAUAUUAAAGUUGUUGCAGUUAAAAAGCUCGUAGUUGAACUUCAGACCCGGCCGGGCGGUCUGCCUCACGGUACGUACUGUCUGGCUGGGUCUUACCUCUCGGUGAGCCCGCAUGCUCUUUGCUGGGUGUGCGGAGGAACCGGGACGUUUACCUUGAGAAAAUUAGAGUGUUCAAAGCAGGCUAUUGCCCGAAUACAUUAGCAUGGAAUAAUAGAAUAGGACAUCGGUUCUAUUUUGUUGGUUUCUAGGACCGCUGUAAUGAUUAAUAGGGAUAGUCGGGGGCGUCCGUAUUCAAUUGUCAGAGGUGAAAUUCUUGGAUUUAUUGAAGACGAACUACUGCGAAAGCAUUCGCCAAGGAUGUUUUCAUUAAUCAGUGAACGAAAGUUAGGGGAUCGAGGACGAUCAGAUACCGUCGUAGUCUUAACCAUAAACUAUGCCGACUAGGGAUCGGACGGUGGUUUUUUUAUGCCCCGUUCGGCGCCUUACGGGAAAC